UGGGGAAUAUUGCACAAUGGGCGCAAGCCUGAUGCAGCCAUGCCGCGUGUAUGAAGAAGGCCUUCGGGUUGUAAAGUACUUUCAGCGGGGAGGAAGGUGUUGAGGCUAAUAACCUCAGCAAUUGACGUUACCCGCAGAAGAAGCACCGGCUAACUCCGUGCCAGCAGCCGCGGUAAUACGGAGGGGGCAAGCGUUAAUCGGAAUUACUGGGCGUAAAGCGCACGCAGGCGGGCUGUCAAGUCGGAUGUGAAAUCCCCGGGCUCAACCUGGGAACUGCAUUCGAAACUGGCAGGCUAGAGUCUUGUAGAGGGGGGUAGAAUUCCAGGUGUAGCGGUGAAAUGCGUAGAGAUCUGGAGGAAUACCGGUGGCGAAGGCGGCCCCCUGGACAAAGACUGACGCUCAGGUGCGAAAGCGUGGGGAGCAAACA
rnacentral:rRNA from 1 species